CUCUCUGUGGCGCAAUGGAUAGUGCAUUGGACUUUAAGAUGUUGACUGAGUGAAGUCAUUCAAAGGUUGUGGGUUUGAGUCCCACCAGAGUCA
rnacentral:tRNA from 1 species